GAGUUUGAUCAUGGCUCAGAUUGAACGCUGGCGGCAUGCCUUACACAUGCAAGUCGAACGGCAGCACGGGAGCUUGCUCCUGGUGGCGAGUGGCGAACGGGUGAGUAAUGCAUCGGAACGUAUCCUGGAGUGGGGGAUAACGUAGCGAAAGUUACGCUAAUACCGCAUAUUCUGUGAGCAGGAAAGCGGGGGACCUUCGGGCCUCGCGCUCUUGGAGCGGCCGAUGUCGGAUUAGCUAGUUGGUGAGGUAAAGGCUCACCAAGGCGACGAUCCGUAGCAGGUCUGAGAGGAUGAUCUGCCACACUGGAACUGAGACACGGUCCAGACUCCUACGGGAGGCAGCAGUGGGAAUUUUGGACAAUGGGGGCAACCCUGAUCCAGCCAUGCCGCGUGAGUGAAGAAGGCCUCGG
rnacentral:rRNA from 3 species